UGUAAAUUAGUGUAUGAGGCACUGUAACUUUUGAUGUUAAUGGAUUAAGUUUAAUUCUUAAAUUUACAA
rnacentral:tRNA from 1 species